GGCUCAGGAUGAACGCUAGCGGCAGGCUUAAUACAUGCAAGUCGUGGGCAGCAUGAGUAGCAAUACUUGAUGGCGACCGGCAAACGGGUGAGGAACACGUACACAACCUUCCUUCAAGCGGGGAAUAGCCCAGAGAAAUUUGGAUUAAUACCCCAUAGUAUAUUUGAUAAGGCAUCUUAUUAAUAUUAAAGCUUCGGCACUUGAUGAUGGGUGUGCGGCUGAUUAGAUAGUUGGCGGGGUAACGGCCCACCAAGUCUACGAUCAGUAGCUGAUGUGAGAGCAUGAUCAGCCACACGGGCACUGAGACACGGGCCCGACUCCUACGGGAGGCAGCAGUAAGGAAUAUUGGACAAUGGACGAAAGUCUGAUCCAGCCAUGCCGCGUGAAGGAUUAAGGUCCUCUGGAUUGUAAACUUCUUUUAUAUGGGACGAAAAAAGGGCAUUCUUGUUCACUUGACGGUACCAUAUGAAUAAGCACCGGCUAACUCCGUG
rnacentral:rRNA from 1 species